CCUACGGGAGGCAGCAGUGAGGAAUAUUGGUCAAUGGGCGGAAGCCUGAACCAGCCAAGUCGCGUGAGGGAUUAAGGCCCUGCGGGUCGUAAACCUCUUUUGCCGGGGAGCAGAGGUCCGGACGUGUCCGGGCCGGGAGAGUACCCGGAGAAAAAGCAUCGGCUAACUCCGUGCCAGCAGCGUCGGUAAUACGGAGGAUGCGAGCGUUAUCAGGAUUUAUUGGGUUUAAAGGGUGCGUAGGCGGGCAUAUAAGCCGGCGGUCAAAUGUCGGGGGUCAACCCCGGCCUGCCUUCGGAACUGGGUGCCUUGAGUGGGCGAGAAGUAUGCGGAAUGCGUGGUGUAGCGGUGAAAUGCAUAGAUAUCACGCAGAACCCCGAUUGCGAAGGCAGCAUACCGGCGCCCUACUGACGCUGAGGCACGAAAGUGCGGGUAUCGAACAGGAUUAGAUACCCCAGUAGUC
rnacentral:rRNA from 1 species